AUGCAAGGCCUGGCCGACGGCAACGACUUUAGGGGCUGCCGUGAUUUGCAUACUUCAUCUAGGCUUGUACGCUUGAUUUUAUUUCAAGAUUUAUUGGUAUUCUUCUUAGAUGAGAGAGUGCAGGCUUGUGCUCUUCUGUUGAAGAGCUUGAGCAUGAGAGCGAGGGUCAGUUCCAAUGCUGCUAAGCAAGCUAAAAUGGAAGAUAUAGUGGUUGAGAGAGAUGCCAUACAGGAUCAGGUGAAAAUCAUCAUACAUGGAGUAAAGGAGGGAGAAGCAGCCAUGUCUAAGAUUAAGGUCCUGGACGAUGAGGCGAUGGGCGUGGAGAGCUGCUACGAGCUCGCGCAGGCGGCAUACGUCAACCUCGCGCUGCACACGCUCAAGCACCUGGCGCCCGUCGUCAAUGGGCUCCUCGUCCAUGAUUAG
rnacentral:rRNA from 1 species